GAAAAAUAUUCCAAGUGAUGUGUUGUGCUGUGUAGGAAUUGUACAUUAUCCAGGCUGAAACGGACGAACCAAAAACAACCAAAACAAACCUUGGAUCGAAGACUAUAUAUUAAGAAGACUGAUAUCUCUUUCCUUCCCCCAUACAAACGAGAAGCGACAGAGGUUACAGCGCCUCUAUUGGAAGAAGGGAGGAAGCUUAAUGUAAAAAUGUAUAUGUGUGUGUGCAUCACUAUGGAAAGUAUCACCUUUACCGUUGCUGUUACUGUCUCCGGAUUCUGGACAGAGUUGCCAGUCUUCAUGAUAUGGAGUCUUCGCUUGGAUGUAAGGUAGGAAUGUGUCCGUUCGGCACUGGACGAUUUCGGACGACGUAUUGUGGACAAUUGAAGCGUACUAUGGGUGAGUUUAAAUGCUAUUUAAUGUUUGCCAGCCCGGCGGACAAAACUUUCAGAAUCGAAGGAUGUCGCAUCCAGCUGGACUGGGAUCAAAUAUGGACCUCGGCAUCGGGCCGAAACUAUUUGGCGUGACUGGCGCUGGACGGACUGCUGCCAUGCUGACCCGGAAUUGAAGACAGCUAUAAAGGAUGAUGAGAAGGGAAGUUGACUUCCAGUUUAAGAGUUGCUUAGGAAAUGGUAAGUAGGAAUUUAUACCAAUCCGACCCAUUUUAAAACCUCAACAGCAUGAUAGCCAUCAUUGCCGGCCGUCCCCAUCUUCAUCGUUCAAGUGGAAGGAUAAAGGAAAAGGUAGACAGGAAGUGUUGAUGCUCUACCUACUUAACGGAGGGUAUACGAUUCAUUAGGCUCUUCCAUAGGUGUCGCGGAGUUGGUAGUUUGGUUAUACCCUUCCAAACGGUCUAGGAUCCGCUCCAAGAAAGCGAUGCGACCUGUAGAGCAUAUUUUAUU